GGGACCUUGGCGCAGUUGGCUAGCGCGCAGGUCUCAUAGCUUCUCUAUGAUCUGGUGAAAUACCAGAGUUAUCCUGAGGUCGGGAGUUCGAGCCUCCCAGGUCCCA